UCCCGGCUUUGUCAUUCUCAAGGCUGUAGGCUGACAUGCUGUUGAGUCUGGAGAGGAAGUAGCCUAUGCUAAUACAUGGUGCAAGAUCACCCAGUUCUUCUCUUACUGGUAAAAUGGCUAUGUAUGUAUACUAUCUCCAUGUGUUCAGGCUGCCUGCAAACAGUGGCCAUUGGAUCUUGGCCUAUUUUGUCAUAUUUUGCGUUGUGGUAGUAUUGAAAAUAUGGGUGUUGUGUAUGAAGUUAUCUAAAAUAAAAUGGUUUAGCAGGUACCAUGGCCUCUGAAGUGGUAGGUUUGGAUGUAAUGUGGUGAGAUGGUGAGUUUGCCUUGAAUCUUCUUGCAUUUAAUACUGGUGCUAUAUCCUCUUCCACAAAAUGCAGUCUUCUCUUUCAGGUUUAAAAUGCAAUAAUCAGAUUAUGAGUAUUGUUUACAACUUUAAUUGGUUUAAUUUAAUUAGUUUAUCAUUAGCUCUGGAUCAGGACCUUGCUGCAGUACUUUCUCUGCAAUACUUUGUUUAAUUAUAUUUAAUGCAAUCUUUUUGUUUUCCCAGAGGCUAAAUAAGCCUGCAGCCAAAGACUCAAAAUCGAUACAGAGGACUAUUCUUAAACUCUGUGUUUUCAGAUAGGUCUGGAAGAACCAGGCUUAAAACAUGCAUUGCAUCUGCUGUUUAAUUUUCUGUCUCUCCAUAGUGCUGCAUGACCCCCUAAGCUGGGAGCAGGAAACCAACCCAAUUUAAUAUGAAGAAAUGGUUCUUUCUCUCUGUACAGCUAAUAACCUAGUCUGAUACCUGGUUUUCCUGGUUUACCUUCCUUUGCAGCAUUUCUUCUUGCCUGAUCUUUCUACAUCCAAAUUAUUAUUUUAAUUGAAGAGUUAUUUGAAACAUCUUCAGGAGACAUGCAUGGUACUGAGCACCUCUGCAGAGCAUGUGGGGGUGCAGUUAAGUCUCAUUCCCACAUUUAUGUGCUGUGAUUCUUCGUUUCCUAAUAAUAAUUACUUGAAGUGUCUAUUUUAUCAGUUUUCUUUCAAUUCUCCAACACAAGUGGAAUUCUGCCAUAGCCAAUGAGUUCCUCUGUUUUCUACCAUUGCUGUGACUCUGUCUCUCAUCCAAGAAAAGGAAGUUUUCAUGCACUGUGGGCUAUCCUGCUGUUUCCUAGGAUACUUUCAAAGAAGUCCUGAGAUGCCUUUUACAGCAAAAGCAGCACCAUCUCCUACUUGCCUAUUUUUACCGCUUCCACACAUGCAUCCUCCAACAAAAGAGUCCUGAAUGACAAAGUAUGUUUUCAGGUUUCACUGUUGAACUUUUUGUAGGAGAAGGGGAUCGCUGUGAAUGAAGCUCCUCAGGAUCAAAGCAAUUAUGAAGAGUGAACAAAUUAGCAUUUCCUCAAAAUCAUGGAGCCUCUACAAGUGUGAGAGGUGUGAAGAUUAACUGGGGAUGUGACUGAAAGUGAAGAAACAGAUCCUCUGAUCAUGCUGGGCCCAAUGCUCAGAAGGAGGGCUGAAUUCCCUUUGUUUUGGGGACAACCUGGCUUCCUAAUAGGUCUCAGGUGUCACUAUUCUCUAUUUUCAAAGGAGCCCAUGGAGCCUUGAUGAAGAAGGCUGCCACAUGGUGUAGAGCCAACCUUGAGCAUUCAAGAUAUAACCCUUCUCCAAAACAGAAAGUCUUAAAUGGCAGCCCAAGAGGACUUGAACAAGACUGCCAAGGCUGCAAGUGUUCUUGGCUGCAUGGAGGGAAACCUUAGGCAGAGUCUCCAGGAAAGAGAGAUCACUGACAUUUUGAAAGGCUGAAAUAAAUCUUUUGGAAGUCUCAUUCUGUGAUGACAGAUUGCAAUAGACUUUUAGAUGAAGAACAACUCUUAUUUUUUUCCUCUUCUGGAACUUCAGACUUGUUUAUUCCAGGCUACCCUCCUCCUCUCCUCAUACACAGAGAAGUAGAGGUGUUGCCAAUGUCUUUAACUUUUCCAAACUCUCCUGGGAAACAGGAUAUAGCCAGCAAUAAAGACUAGCAGAUGUUACCAUUGCUUUCUGUUAUAAGAAUACAACCCCUGACAUACUCAUUUUUUAAAGACUACACCCUUUUUGUGACAUGUUUAGAAAGCUUCUUUUAAUAAAUGGAUAAGAUUAGUCAAUAUUGAUUGUUGAACUGAACUGUCUUCAGUAGCAAACCACUUACUCUUUUCUACUGGGCUUUACGGCAUGAAUAGGGACUUUUAAUUUGCUAAUAGGUGAUUAAAAAUGCAACUUUUUGUAGAACUCCAGAAUGUGAGUGUAUGGGAUCAUACUGUGCUCCUUCUUCAAAGAGAUGCUAUUUAAUCCUUGCUUUCUUCAGCUUAAAUAGAGUCACUUAUGACCUUGCAUGAACUCUCAGUAUGUUGUUCUACUCUGCUGUAGCUAAUAGCAUUAGUGGUAAUUAUGACCCAUAAACCCACACAUUUCUACUAGAAGCAAAGAAGAUUUAUGCAUCUAAAAGCCACUGUGCUUGAAUGUAUUUUAAUUAUGGCCUAUAUUAAUAUUUUUCAACAUCAGCAUCUCACUAAUACGUCAGUUUAAAUAUACUCAUCAUCGUACUUUUAAGACCUACAGCAAGUUAGAGUUAUAGAUUACUAUUUUCAGGUGUCUGGGAGCAGCUCCAAUAAUUAUAAAGAAGCAGAGCAGCAAGUCCUAUUUAUAGACAUAAAUGCAGAAUAAAAAAGAAUUAUGACUUUGGGAACUGCUGCUUUUAAAACUAGCUAUGGAAGCGUAACCUACUGCUGAAAUGAUAAGGUAUAUUCAUGAAUACAUUGCA